rnacentral:rRNA from 1 species
GACUAACGCUAGCGGCAGGCAUAAUACAUGCAAGUUGAACGGGAUAAGUUGUAGCAAUACGGCUUUGAGAGUAGCGUACGGGUGCGUAACACGUAUGCAAUAUGCCCCUCUAUGCGGAAUAGCCCCUCGACAGAGGGAUUAAUAACACAUAACAUAAUGUAUAGGAAUCUUAAUAUUAUGAAAGCUACGGCGGAUAGGGAAGAGCAUGCGGCUGAUUAGCUAGUUGGUGAGGUGAUAGCUCACCAAGGCUACGAUCAGUAGGGGGUCUGAGAGGAUGUCCCCCCACACUGGUACUGAGACACGGACCAGACUCCUACGGGAGUCAGCAGUAGGGAAUAUUGGUCAAUGGGCGCAAGCCUGAACCAGCCAUGCCGCGUGCAGGAUGAAGGCCCUAUGGGUCGUAAACUGCUUUUGUACGGGAAGAAACCCCACUACGUGUAGUGGGCUGACGGUACCGUGAGAAUAAGGAUCGGCUAACUUCGUGCCAGCCGCCGCAGUAAAAC